UACAGAGGUCCCAAGCGUUGUUCGGAUUCACUGGGCGCAAAGGGUACGUAGGUGGCUUGUAGUGAGCAACAGUGAAAGCCUAGAAUUAAAUGUUUUAGAAUGGCUGUUGCUAUUUACACGGCUUGAGUUAAUUGUUCGUUGUGUGGAAUUCCCAAAGAAGCGCUAAAAUGCAAAGAUAUCGGGAGGAAUACUGGAAACGAAGGUAUCCUUCGGCAAUUAACUGACACUGAGGUACGAAGGCAUGGGGAGCAAACAGG
rnacentral:rRNA from 1 species